rnacentral:rRNA from 1 species
GCCAAUCAGCUAGCUCAAACCCCCAGAAACCAAAAAAACAACAUUCAUACCCUAACAUAAACACAAUUAACCAAAACUAAACCAUUUAACCACCCCAGUACGGGAGACAAAAAAGGACCCACCGAAGCCAUAGAUAAAGUACCGCAAGGGAAAGCUGAAAAAGAACUGAAAAAACACACUCAAGCAUAAAAAAGCAGAGACCAAAACUCGUACCUUUUGCAUCAUGAUCUAGCCAGUACCAUCAAGCAAAGAGAACUCUAGUUUGGAACCCCGAAACCUCCAACGAGCUACCUCAAGGCCGCCUAAAACAGGGCAAACCCAUCUCUGUGGCAAAAGAGUGGGAAGACCUUCAGGUAGAGGUGAAAAGCCUACCGAGUCAGGUUAUAGCUGGUUGCUCAGAAAAUGAAUAGUAGUUCAGCCCCAUAAACACCUCCCGCCAACCACAUUCCUACAGGCAAAACGAGUUACCUAUGGGAGUUAGUUAAAGGAGGUACAGCUCCUUUAACAAAGGACACAACCUUUAUACAGGAGGCUAAGGAAUACACUUCACCAAAGGCCCAAAAGUACUAGUAGGCCUAAAAGCAGCCAUCUAAACAAAAAGCGUUAAAGCUUAAACCAAACUAAGCCCAACAUUCCAUUUAACCCUCCAAUGCCCCUAUACUAUACUGAGCCACUUUAUGCCCCCAUAAAAGAGACCAUGCUAGAACAAGUAAUAAGAAGAGUGAACUUCUCCCCGCACAAGUGUAAAUCGAACCGGACACACCACCGAUAAUUAACGAACCCAAAAACAGAGGGCCCUACACAACCACCAAUUCAAACCAAGAAAACCAUGUCCCACACAAUCGUUACCCCCACACAGGAGUGCACACCAAAGGAAAGACCAAAAGGAUAAAAAGGAACUCGGCAAACCAAAACCCCGCCUGUUUACCAAAAACAUCGCCUCCUGCCACCCAACUGCAUAGGAGGUCCCGCCUGCCCCGUGACUAUAACAGUUCAACGGCCGCGGUAUUCUAACCGUGCAAAGGUAGCGCAAUCAAUUGUCUUUUAAAUGAAGACCUGUAUGAAUGGCAUAACGAGGGUUUAACUGUCUCUUUUUCCCGGCCAAUGAAACUGAUCUGUCCGUGCAGAAGCGGACAUAAAUAUACAAGACGAGAAGACCCUGUGGAGCUUCAGACACUAACCAACCACAAUAACAACGGCCAACCAAAACAGCCGAAAAACCGCGGCCCUGGUUCAAACGUCUUCGGUUGGGGCGACCACGGUGAGAAAACAAAGCUCCCGAGCGGAUUGGGAAUUCUCCUAAAACCCUAGAGCCACACCUCUAAGUCUCAAAACAUUUGACCAAUAAUGAUCCGAUUAUAUAUCGAUCAACGAACAAAGUUACCCCAGGGAUAACAGCGCAAUCCCCUCACAGAGCCCAUAUCGACGAGGGGGUUUACGACCUCGAUGUUGGAUCAGGACAUCCUAAUGGUGCAGCCGCUAUUAAAGGUUCGUUUGUUCAACGAUUAAAGUCCUACGUGAUCUGAGUUCAGACCGGAGAAAUCCAGGUCGGUUUCUAUCUGUAAACCACCCCUCCUAGUACGAAAGGACCGGAGCGAUGAGGCCCAUACUUUAAGCACGCCUCACCCAAACCUGAUGAAAACAUAUAAAACAGACAAAGGGGGUAACCCCUAACCCAAAAGAAGGGUCG